rnacentral:lncRNA from 1 species
CUGGAUUGGAUAAAAAAAUGCUUUUCAAAUGCUUGAAAAGAGAGGUGAAACAACACUUUGUGUUUUCCCUCCUGCAGCUACUUGAUUUGGAAAGGUUUGAGCUCAUCUUACUUCAUGAAGAAAGGUCUUCUGUUAAAAUGUCCUGGUUGUCAUGUCUUGUCUCAUGUUCUGUUGUUAUCUUCCAGGAAGUAAAAAAAAAAAAAAAAAAAAAGAGAGAGGCAUCUCUGGAACAGAUCCAUCCAAACAGAAAAAUGGUGAGAUGGUCUCUUCCCUCUCUUAACAGACCAGCCCCUGCUUUCAAAUAUGGGCUGCAUUGCUCUGAUGAGGUGUACAGCCACCAGCUGGCAUGGAACAAGUUAAAGCAGAGGCCUGUGAUGUCACCUUGUACCUUUACUCUCAAGGCCUCUGGUAUCAUCAUAUGCUUGUGUACCUGGCGUUCUCCACACAGUUGUGAUGAGUUUGGGGUUUUGAAGCUGUAUAAGCUGCCUUUUCUUCUUUCUGGUCACUUUCAGCCUUUACUGAGAAUAUGGGUUACAGUUAUGAGAUCUUCUAUUCUCCUCACCCUUUUUUUUUGGCCGCUGACUCAGCCAGUUCUGGGGGCAUAAGAAAAGACGGAAAGGAAGAGCUGCAAGCAGAGAAAAGAGUGGCAAGGAGAGAACGGCUUCAUUUGAAAUGCCUGCAGGAUGUCAGCAGGAGCUGCUGCCUCAAACAGACACAGAAUUCAUCUGCAAGAUCUGCUUAUAUACACUAUUUAAGUUUUUAUUCCUUCACACAAAUAGAUCAGAGUGCCCAGAGGAAUAUCAGACGUAUACAAACUCUCUACUUGACUAACGCAUGAGCUCCACGUACUGGGAUUCAAAGACUUCUUUCCAAUGAACACAAAAUAAACAGCGGCAUCUUAUUUUAAAUGUAAUGCUA